rnacentral:lncRNA from 1 species
AAGGAUGUGCACGGAGAGAGAUGUUACACGCAUUACACAUUUAUCCUCUGGACUCUGAUUAAUAAACCACUAAAAAAAUGAUUGAUGCUUGGUUGAAAGAACCUACUACUACAAUAGUACGUAGUACCAAUCAGCUACUCCUUCCAGGUCGUUGAGCACGCGCGCCCACGUCUUCAGGGAUGCCUGCCUGCCUGCCUGACCCCUUUCACUGCAGAGGAAACUGUAGGCAGGUCAGCGUGGUUCACGGGAAUAGAAUCCUGACGACGACGAGCCAUCCGAGACGGGACAACCUACUCUACUCUGCUCUUUUCAUCAUCGC